AUAGGGAAGAGAGAAAAACACGAAAAUCGAUGAAUGAAUUUAGACAAAGUUUAGUCUAAAUUUAUUCAUCGAUUUUCGUUUUUUUCUCUCCUUUAUUUC
rnacentral:pre_miRNA from 1 species